GACGAACGCUGGCGGCGUGCUUAACACAUGCAAGUCGAACGGAAAGGCCCUGCUUUUGUGGGGUGCUCGAGUGGCGAACGGGUGAGUAACACGUGAGUAACCUGCCCUUGACUUUGGGAUAACUUCAGGAAACUGGGGCUAAUACCGGAUAGGAGCUCCUGCUGCAUGGUGGGGGUUGGAAAGUUUCGGCGGUUGGGGAUGGACUCGCGGCUUAUCAGCUUGUUGGUGGGGUAGUGGCUUACCAAGGCUUUGACGGGUAGCCGGCCUGAGAGGGUGACCGGCCACAUUGGGACUGAGAUACGGCCCAGACUCCUAUGGGAGGCAGCAGUGGGGAAUAGUGCACAAUGGGCGGAAGCCUGAUGCAGCAACGCCGCGUGCGGGAUGACGGCCUUCGGGUUGUAAACCGCUUUCGCCUGUGACGAAGCGUGAGUGACGGUAAUGGGUAAAGAAGCACCGGCUAACUACGUG
rnacentral:rRNA from 1 species